CUCUCCUGGAAUCAAAUGGUAAAAAAUAUUCCUCAUGAGAAAAAAUGUCCAAGAAAGGCAUUCUUUGCUUCAAAGAAUAACUAGCUCUGACACGAACAGCCAAUUAAACAUGAAGCAUUCUCAGCAUUUUUGCUAGACACUAAGCUGGAAAAUACAAUUACAGUUAACAUCAUAAAGCCUACACAGCAACAUCUGAAGCUCUCGAGCUUCCUGCAGACACAUCUGUAGCAUGUAAUAAUUUGCCUCGGGUCUCAGACAGAAGCAGAACUGGAGUCAGAUGCCAGAAACCAGGAAUUCUCCAUCUCCUUUAAAACAAGAGGCAGAAAACCUUAAACAGGAGCUUAAAAGCACAAAAUAAUUUCUACCAUUGUUCUCUUUGCUACAAAAUAAGGUCAGUAUUGUCAUAACGCAUGAAGUAAUCCAUGGAUUGAAGUGUGGAGAUGAACAGAAACCUCACCAUGGGCUUUCCAUAUAAAGUAGUGUCCCACACUUCAGCUUGCAGGGAUGUAAGAUCCAUGUGCUGACUGUAUGGUAAUUUACAACGCGAGCAAGCUCGCUUGGAUUCCAAAUGGAGGAUUACAAACAUUGCAAAUCUCUAACGAAACACAAAGGUCAUAAUUGGCAGCAAGAGAUUUAAUAAACGUGCAGGAUUAACUCCUUUCUGAUUCACAUCUCUGCUCAUUUUUUAAAGAAAAUUUAAGCUGAGACAUGAGAACAAUGCAAGGAAACUGCCAACACCGUCAUGCUCCCAGUAGGUUCUGCAAUGCAGGCAGAGCAGUCAGCAGUGUUAUUCCUUUCUGGCCAGGUGAUCAGCAUCAGCACGGUGCAAACUUGGAACAGAACUAUUAAGAACUAUUGGUCCACAACAGACAAAGUUUAUCCUCACAGAGGACUGACAUUUUUUCUCAGUGGAAAUUCUACUGGAGCCAGUUGUUAAUUGAAUGAGACCAGAGACAACUUGUCAUUUUGGUUCCCAAGAUGUAUUUUGUUUCAAAGCAGUGUGAUGCGUUCAUUCCAGAGCGGCAGGCUGCAGGAUGCUCCUGCAAACAAGGAAUGCAGGACAAGCCAAACACACUGUGACAGGAACACUCCUGACUUUGAGAGAAGACACGCUGGGAGGCAGCACUAAGACUUAGCCCGGGUCCUGCCUUACCUUCCCGGAGCAGAUCAUCAGCCGUGCUGACUCCGUGCUCUAUCAGCUUCUGGCAUUCGUCCAGUGGUUUGAUGCUCUCUUGUUCUAUAGCAUCCACUUCCUGCAGCAGUGACAACAGUCGCUCAUCCAACAGCUUCUUUAGGGUCCCUUUUAAAUCAUUAAAAUGUUGCUCGAGUA